rnacentral:rRNA from 1 species
AUUCCAGCUCCAAUAGCGUAUAUUAAAGUUGUUGCAGUUAAAAAGCUCGUAGUUGGAUUUCUGGUGGGGACGUUUGGCCGGCCGUAACGGUUUGCGCUGAAAUGUUCUUCGCCAUCCUUGACGAAUACUGGUUCGCCAUUAAGUUGUGUGGGCUUGGAGUCGUCAUCGUUUACUGUGAAAAAAUUAGAGUGUUCAAAGCAGGCUUAUGCCGUUGAAUACAUUAGCAUGGAAUAAUAAGAUAGGACCCUGGUACUAUUUUGUUGGUUUGCGUACCUAGGUAAUGAUUAAUAGGGACAGUUGGGGGUAUUUGUAUUCCGUUGUCAGAGGUGAAAUUCUUGGAUUUACGGAAGACAAACUACUGCGAAAGCAUUUACCAAGGAUGUUUUCAUCA